rnacentral:rRNA from 1 species
CCUACGGGUGGCAGCAGUGAGGAAUAUUGGUCAAUGGACGAGAGUCUGAACCAGCCAAGUAGCGUGAAGGAUGACUGCCCUAUGGGUUGUAAACUUCUUUUAUAUGGGAAUAAAAUGUUCCACGUGUGGGAUUUUGUAUGUACCAUAUGAAUAAGGAUCGGCUAACUCCGUGCCAGCAGCCGCGGUAAUACGGAGGAUCCGAGCGUUAUCCGGAUUUAUUGGGUUUAAAGGGAGCGUAGGUGGAUUGUUAAGUCAGUUGUGAAAGUUUGCGGCUCAACCGUAAAAUUGCAGUUGAAACUGGCAGUCUUGAGUACAGUAGAGGUGGGCGGAAUUCAUGGUGUAGCGGUGAAAUGCUUAGAUAUCACGAAGAACUCCGAUUGCGAAGGCAGUUCACUGGACUGCAACUGACACUGAGGCUCGAAAGUGUGGGUAUCAAACAGGAUUAGAUACCCUAGUAGUC